AUGGAGAUGGCGUCAGGCAAAACUACAAAAACGUGUCCGAAUUUCAAAGAGAAGAAGAAACGACAGGAGAAGAAAAGCAAAGAGAGAACGAGAAGAGAGCCCUGUGACUGCUGGCUCCUGGCGGCCAUUGCCUCACUCUGGACCCUCAGAUCCUGAACAGAGUGGUCCCUCCUGGGCAGAGCUUCACCUCACAGUAUGCCGGCAUCUUCCACUUCCAGUUAUGGCAGUACGGGGAGUGGGCGGACGUAGUCGUGGACGACCGGCUGCCCAUCAGAGAUGGGAAACUGCUGUUCGUCCACUCAGCGGAGGGAGUGGAGUUCUGGAGUGCUGUGCUGGAGAAAGCCUACGCUAAAGCCUGUCAGACCUCUCCCUCAGCAGCACUCAGUCACAGUGUGACGGCGCCCUCUGCUGGUUCCUCGCAGCAUCUCAGCUGGACUCAGGCUCGAGUGCCAGACGUGCACCACCUUCUGUUGUCGUUGUGCUGGAAGAUUUCCAGCUCGUAUGAGACGGAGCUCAUCAGAAGCUGGCCAAAGGCCACACCUACUCCAUCGCGGCGGCCGAGCAGGUGCAUCACUGUGGUUCUCUGGUGGAGCUGAUCCAGAUCAGGAACCCCUGGGGUCAGGUGGAGUGGACGGGCGCCUGGAGCGACAGCUCGAAGGAGUGGGACGGCAUUCGGGCAGCGGAGAAGAGGCGGCUGGAUUGCUGCGCCGAGGACGGCGAGUUCUGGAUAUUCUACCACGACUUCCUGAGUCACUUCUCCCGCCUCGACAUCUGUAACCUGACACACUGACAAGCAACGAGGUCGGCUGCUGGAACUUUGCUGAGUUUGAGGGCACGUGGUGGGUGGGAUCCAUCGCCGGCGGCUGCAGGAACUACCCCGCUAACAUGUGCUCCUGUGUCUCCGCAGCCACCUUCUUCAUCCAGCUGGACGAUGAUCCUCACGAUGGCGAGGAAGGCUGCACCAUCCUCAUUGGUCUGAUGCAGAAAGAUGCUCGAAGGGAGAGGCGCUUCGGACGUGACCUCAACACCAUCGGCUUCGCCAUCUACGAGGUGCCCGAUCAGCUGAAUGGUCGUUCUAACGUCCGCCUGGGCCCGGACGUCCUCCUGAGAGACCAGUCAGUGGCUCGCAGUCACGCCUUCAUCAACCUGAGGGAGGUAUGCGAUCGCUUCAAAUUGCCACCCGGAGAGUACGCCAUCGUCCCGUCCACCUUCGAACUGCACCGCAAAGGAAGCUUCGUACUGACGGUGUUUACGGAGAAGGAAGCCCACACCAGGUCCCGACUUCAGGGUGACAGGGUUACGCUGCAUAACCGCUACACAGUCUGACAUCUGCUCUCCUGUUUCAGCCCCAUGAGCUCCAGCAGAUUUUGGACAAAGCGGAGUAAGAAGAGGUCGGACAUUACAACCGAUGGCUUCAGCCUGCAAACCUGCUGUGACAUCAUCAGCCUGCUGGAUACUGACGGCAGCUCCAGACUGGGCCUGCUGGGUGAAGAUGCAGACGUACCUGGAGAUCUUUAAGAGUCACGACUCGGACGGGUCUGGCACGAUGAGCAGCCACGAGAUGAGAGCGGCUCUGGCUGAAGCCGGGUUCCAGCUGAACAGCACAGUGAUCCAAGAGAUUGUCGCUCGCUACACCGACAGAAGCUACGCCAUCGACUUCGACCGUUUCAUCGGCUGCUUGAUCCGUCUGGAGAUGCUCUUCAGGAUGUUCAGGACUCUGGAUCCAGCUGGACCUGCAGCAGUGGCUGUGCCUCACCAUCAACUGAGAGCUGCCACUCCAGGAGCAUGCUGGGAAAAGGAUUUAGGCAGCACUGUCUUUGGUAAGCUGAAGGCAUCGUAUCCAAAGCAGCGUUAGCAUCAUGCAGUAGCUGAACAGUUUAACGUGCACGUUUGUGUUGGAGGAUAAUGUUGGCAAAAAGUCUAAAGAGGCUCCAGCGAGCAUCGCGAACAUGUUCACUGUGAAUGAUUUUGUUUCCUUGCAAGUAAAAUAAACACGUUGGAUUGGCUGCUGUGUCUCAGUUAUAACAGAUACCAUGGUUACCGUGCAAAGGACAGGAAGCUGAUGCUGCGGUCGCUGACUCUGAAA